GAUGAACGCUAGCGGCCGGCUUAAUACAUGCAAGUCGUGGGGCAGCAGCACUGUAGCAAUACCGUUGCUGGCGACCGGCACACGGGUGCGGAACACGUACGCAACUUACCCUGAACUUGGGGAUAGCCCGGGGAAACCCGGAUUAAUCCCCCGUAAUAUAAUGGAGUGGCAUCUCUAUAUUAUUAAAGCUCCGGCGGUUCGGUAUGGGCGUGCGGCUGAUUAGGUAGUUGGUUGAGGUAACGGCUCACCAAGCCUACGAUCAGUAACUGGUGUGAGAGCACGACCAGUCACACGGGCACUGAGACACAGACUCGACCGCUACGGGAGGCAGCAGUAAGGAAUAGUGGGCAAUGGAGGCAACUCUGACCCAGCCAUGCCGCGUGGAAGAGGAAGGCCCUCGGGGUUGUAAGCUACUUUUAAAGGAGAAGAAACCUGUGUAUUCUGACGCAGUUGACGGUACCCUAGGAAUAAGCACCGGCUAACUCCGUG
rnacentral:rRNA from 1 species